rnacentral:tRNA from 2 species
GCGGGUGUGGCGGAACUGGUAGACGCACCAGAUUUAGGUUCUGGCGGAGCAAUCCGUGGGGGUUCGAGUCCCUUCACCCGCACCA